GUAAAUGUAUUGGAAUAGGGCUUAAUUCUAUGUAAAUUAUGUUUAGCAAGACAAUAUUGAUGAAUAUGGUAAAAUUUAAGAGAAACAAGUGAAAAUGACUAAAUUGAAAGAAAAUCAAAGUUGAUGGACCAAAGUACAAAUAGCCAAGAGACGAUACGAAAGAAGAAACAAAAAUGUAAAAGAGUCGAAGACCAAUUGAACAAAGAAAUG
rnacentral:lncRNA from 1 species